rnacentral:lncRNA from 1 species
GAAUUUGGGGGAAUGGGGUCCUGGCUGCUGAAAAAACAUGAGCCAAGGUACAGAUAAGCCAGCUAUUCCUGUAUUCUGUCCAAGAUUAGUGUGGAUUCAGGUUAAUUGAGAGAGAACACUGUUAAGAGGUAAAAACUUAGGAUUUUCAGACUUUCUUUCUCCUGUUCUUUUUGUUGUUGUUGUUUUGAACCAAGAGGUAAGUAAAAUAUUGUGCAGCCUCUUUAUUUUGCAUCCAAGCUAUUUAAUCACUGAAGUUGUUGUUGUUUUCCCUUUUAUGUUUUGUCUAGCUGGGAUCACACUGAAAUAAGCAUAGGGUGAAGAACUUUGGAGCAGAGGAGGAGAAAUUGCUGGAAGCCCUGUUUCUUAAAUCAGAAAACCCCAGAACUCAGCUUAAUAUUGACAUGACAGCCUUAAACAGAAAACUUAAGAUUUUCAGACAGACUAAAGAAGAUUCCCUCGAGCAACAUCCUACAUAUCACAGCUCAUUCAACAGAGCAGUGGAUGCCCUUGAUACCACAGACAGAAACAUUCUCUGUGCUGUACACUCUCAGGACCUUCCUCAACACAGC